rnacentral:rRNA from 1 species
GACGUAGGGGGCGAGCGUUGUCCGGAUUUAUUGGGCGUAAAGCGCGCGUAGGCGGCCGCGCAAGUCGGAUGUGAAAGCCCGGGGCUCAACCCCGGACGUGCAUUCGAUACUGCGCGGCUCGAGACAGGUAGGGGAGAUCGGAAUUCCUGGUGUAGCGGUGAAAUGCGCAGAUAUCAGGAGGAACACCGGUGGCGAAGGCGGAUCUCUGGGCCUGUUCUGACGCUGAGGCGCGAAAGCUAGGGGAGCGAACAGG